rnacentral:rRNA from 1 species
UUGCGUAGGUGGCAUAGUAAGUAGGUAGUGAAAGCCUGGGGCUCAACCCUUUAAACAUUAUCUAAACUGCUAAGCUAGAGGGCGAGAGAGGUAACUAGAAUUCCUUGUGUAGGAGUGAAAUCCGUAGAUAUAAGGAGGAAUACCGAUGGCGUAGGCAGGUUACUGGCUCGUCCCUGACACUAAGGCACGAAAGCGUGGGUAGGCAAACG